rnacentral:rRNA from 1 species
GAAACGGAUGCUAAUACCGCAUAGGUCUUCGAAUCAGCAUGGUUUGAAGAGGAAAAGAGGCGCAAGCUUUUGCUGAGGAUGGACCCGCGGUGCAUUAGCUAGUUGGUGAGGUAACGGCUCACCAAGGCUGAUGCAUAGCCGACCUGAGAGGGUGAUCGGCCACAUUGGGACUGAGACACGGCCCAAACUCCUACGGGAGGCAGCAGUAGGGAAUCUUCUGCAAUGGACGCAAGUCUGACGGAGCAACGCCGCGUGAGUGAAGAAGGUUUUCGGAUCGUAAACUCUGUUGUUAGAGAAGAACAAGUCAUAGAGUAACUGUUAGCGCC